CUGUAAGCCGCCUCGAGCCCCCAGCAGUGGGAAAGGCGUGCUAUAGUAACAACAACGACAAAGGUUAGGUGAGGGGCAAUGACUGCCCCCCCCCAAAGUCUUCCUCCCACACAGCAUUUUCAUGGCCAAGUGGGGAUAUGAACUCCGGUCUCCCCAAAUCCUAGUCCCAACACUAACCAGUACACCAUCUGUUUUCCAGCCCAACCUAAAAGCACACCAUAUGCACGGUUUGCAAGAAGGGUGAAUAAGAAAAGCCCGGCUGGAUCAGACCGAAGCAAAGGUCUUUUUAUUCCAGUGUCCGGUUCCCCCAUUGUGGCUGACUCAUAGCUGUUAACCUUCCCUUUUUUGGCAGGAAAUUCCCUUAUUCCAGCGCUGUUUCCCGCUGCUAUCCUGGAUUGUUAGAUAUCCCAUAGACUGUCCCCGGGACAGGUAAGGCUGCUGAUCCCUUAUUUUCGAGGCUGCUGAUCCCUUAUUUUCAAAUCUGAAAGUUGACGGCUAUGGGCUGACUAGAUGGCCACAAGGUGGGCAGGAUGGCAGGGCCAGCCCAGCCAUUAGGCAUACUGAGGUUACCGCCUCGGGCAGCGGGAUCUACAGGGGCAGCAGAUCCCAGUGUAGAUCUUUACAUUUCCAAGCACAAUUCAAAGUGUUGGUGCUGACCUUUAAAGCCCUAAACGGCCUCUGCCCAGUAUACCUGAAGGAGCGUCUCCACCUCCACCGUUCUACCCGGACACUGAGGUCCAGUGCCGAGGGCCUUCUGGCGGUUCCCUCACUGCGAGAAGCCAAGUUACAGGGAACCAGGCAGAGGGCCUUCUCGGUAGUGGCACCCACCCUGUGGAACGCCCUCCCACCAGAUGUCAAAGAGGAAAACAACCACCAGACUUUUAGAAGACAUCUGAAGGCAGCCCUGUUUAGGGAAACGUUUAAUGUUUAAUAGACUAUUGUAUUUUAAUAUUUUGUUGGAAGCCGCCCAGAGUGGCGGGGUAUAAAUUAAUAAUAAUAAUAAUAAUAAAAUAAUAAUAAUAAUAAUAAUAAUAAUAAUAAUAAUAAUUUCUCCCCUGGUUCCCGAUGUAAAUCUUCAUUCACCCCUUCUUCCUUUGCAGGGGAUGAGCGACAUUUUGCGGUUCGCCUCAGAGGCUAAAAUGUCUUGGGCUAGCCCCACAGGAUGGAAAUAGCCCUUUCCUGUGACUGCUUCCCUCCUUCCCACAAUUGGUAUACAGAGCUACUCAGCUUCAGAAUUUGAUUCUAUGCCUCCUUCCUUACAGGAGAGUAAGUGUCACUUAAGUCACUGGGUCUUACUUCUGAGAACAGCUACAUCAUUUGCAACACAAUCCUGUAUGUUCAAUGGGGAUUCCUCCCAAUGCACAGGUUUGCAGCCUUGGUAGAUAAAACACUUCCAUUGAUGUGCUCUUGACCUCCCCCCAUGGGCGUAGCCAAGACUUUUGUUAGGGGGGCAGAACCAACAUGAUUGCUCAGUUCAGUAUUCCUAUUGUUUGACUUGAUCUGGAGGGGCAGCUGCCCCUCCCUGCCCCCCCCCCCGACUACACCCAUGCCUCCCGCCCCCCAUUUAUCUGGCAGCAAAUGCAUAUACAGUUUUAAAUAUAGGUAUUAAAAUAACUGCUAUCAGAGAAAAGGCAUUCCCUCCCCAUGUGGGAGAGAAAUAGAAAGGCAUCUGUUAAGAUGAUGUCUGCCAAGGUCCAUUUAUCUCUCAAUAAAUAUUUCCUCGAUACCCUACAGAAUUUUUUUUUUAAAAGACAGCAUACUAAUUAAAACCAACAAUAAGAGAGAGAGAGAAAAAACUUCAUUACAACAGAGUCAGCAUAAAACAAUAUACAGCCCAGACUUAAAGGGCAAUUAAAAAAGCCCGAGUGAAUAAAAAUAUGUUCAUCUGGCACCAAAAAGACUGUAAAGAAAGCACCAGGCAAGCCUCUCUGGGGAGACUAUUCCAUCGUCCAGGUGCCACUACAGAAAAGGCCCCGUCUGUAAUGGUCACUCAGUGUGCUUCUUUUCCUUUAGAACCUUUUAAAUAUGCAAAGAUACUUUGUUUCAUACAUUUUGUCAACUAAAACUUACAUAAUUAACUGAGAUUUAUUUCUCUAUGUUCCCCCGUACCCAGGAGUAAGGUUGUAAACUCUUAUUUGGGAAUAAGCCACAUUAAAUUUAAUAGGUUUUACUACUUAUGAGUAGGUACAAGUACUGAUAUUUAUUUCAGUACCUAUGAAGCUGCUUUACAGAGAUUAACCCUCCCUAGUACGCAACAUAUAAAAAAAUUAUUCAAAAUUAUUCAAUUAUUCAAAAUGUAAGUUACAAACCAUAAAACCACCAUAUACGAAACAUCUAAAAAUAUUUUUUCUUGUAAGCAAACAUACAUAGCACUAGACUCCCAUGUACUUGAAAUAAGCCUUCCUGAAAUGAAAUGGGUCUUACUUCUAAGUAAGCAAAACUAGGAUUGGGUUCUGUACGGCAUUUGAGCCGCAUGUAAAAUGUGGUCUUUGCAUUGUGGAUCUCUGAGUGCAGACGUGUUCAAAGAAGCCUACACAUGUACAACACUGUGCACAUAGUUUCCGCACGAUAUGCACAGAGGUGUACCAAUGGGUAUCCCACUUUGCAGAGAUCUGCACUCAGUGCGUAGAGGCAGAGACUAGGGAUGACGCAAUGUCCAACAUGGAGGAUGGAGCCAGUAACAGCAGCAGUAAGCAUAUGCCCUAAGCCUGGAGCUACACAUUAACAGGGUUGUAAGAGCAUGCUGAUGUUGAGUUCUGCAGAGCCCUCACUGGCCAGGCAGAAAGUCAGUUACAAUCAACUACAGAGAAAACAAUUCUUUAAUCAAAAAUCAUUUACAGUGUAACCCAGCACAUGUUUGCAUGGGGAAAAGUUCCACUCUAUUCAAGGGAAUGCAGUCCCAGAAAGCACACAUAUAGCUAAGUUGUGUGUGUGUGUGUUCCAAAUAAUGGCUUGUGUCGGAAAAGACUUGAGAAACCCAGCUUCAAAUCCACACCAAAGCUUUAUUUAUCCUCCUCCAAAGGGUUGUCGUGAGCAUAAAGAGAGGGUUUGUGGAUCAAAUGAAUCAUAGAAUCAUAGAGUUGGAAGAGACCACAAGGGCCAUCGAGUCCAACCCCCUGCCAAGCAGGAAACACCAUCAGAGCACUCCUGACAUAUGGUUGUCAAGCCUCUGCUUAAAGACCUCCAAAGAAAGAGACUCCACCACACUCCUUGGCAGCAAAUUCCACUGUCAAACAGCUCUUACUGUCAGGAAGUUCUUCCUAAUGUUUAGGUGGAAUCUUCUUUCUUGUAGUUUGGAUCCAUUGCUCCGUGUCUGCUUCUCUGGAGCAGCAGAAAACAACCGUUCUCCCUCCUCUAUGUGACAUCCUUUUAUAUAUUUGAACAUGGCUAUCAUAUCACCCCUUAACCUCCUCUUCUCCAGGCUAAACAUGCCCAGCUCCCUUAGCCGUUCCUCAUAAGGCAUCGUUUCCAGGCCUUUGACCAUUUUGGUUGCCCUCCUCUGGACACGUUCCAGUUUGUCAGUGUCCUUCUUGAACUGUGGUGCCCAGAACUGGACACAGUACUCCAGGUGAGGUCUGACCAGAGCAGAAUACCCUGCCCUGCCCUAAGCUCCUUAAAGGAAGAGCAGAAUGAAUGUAAUAUAUAAUAAUUAUGUAAUGGAAAUAAUAGAAUAGCUAAGAGAAGGUUAAAUCACCAGAACUUCAAAGUAGUGUUAAAAAAAAUGUUUCGGGUAAAUCACAGCUAGGAGGAGGAUUUUUAUCAGGACUAUAGCACAUAAACUGCAAACUGCAAUCCCAAUCCUGAUUCCGCCCCCCCCCCCCGCAAAAAGCCACUAUUUACACAUUUGUAAAGAUGAAAGCAGCUGCAAGUGCCGCAUUUUAACAUCACAUGCAGUUUAGUCCCAAUGCAUGCAAUAUGUGAACAUGGAGAAUGUUCAUCCAAAGCACAGGGUUGCCUUUUCAUGGGAACUUUGUAAGAGAAAGAAAAGACGAGGAUGAAGAUUUACAAAAUGUUUUUAAAGGGCUUCAUGAGUGCUCCCACCAUUCAGAUUUGCAGCAGGGAAUUACUCAGCUUCUAACGAAAUAACAGAGCGAAUAAAUUUUUCCUUUCUAGAAAAAAAAAAGAGGUAUUAUUAUCUCCUGAGACAAGCAGGUUAACCCCCUAUGCAAAAUGUGUUUUGAUGUCCCACAACAACUGCCUAACAACACAAGAAUUGCCUCCUAAGGCCUUGAUCCCGUGUUCAAAGAAGCCCACGCAUGUUCAACGCUAUGCACAUACGCUACAUAUGGCACAGCAACAAAUCCAGCAGAAGAUGUCCCCUCGCCUUUCCUAUGCCUGUACAGUGCAAAAGACCGCGCAACAUUUUUUUUUCCAGAAAAUUUUCCAAUAGAGAAUUUAAUAAUUCCACCUCGCUUGCAUUCUGUACUCACAGGAACCAAUAUGGUGGAAACUGUCUUUAUCAUGCUAGGAGAGACAUGAGGUACUCAUACAGCAGGGCACCUCUGCUGCAAUGUACCUAGUUUGGUUGUAGUUUGGAGAACGGCACCAUAUUGUCUACGCAUAUCUCUGCAUUUAUUUAUUUAUUUAUUUAUUUAGGUCUCCAGCAUCUACAGGCAACAAGUCCCGUCUUCUUACCAGACGCAGUGUGCAAACUUCACCCCUCAUCUUUGAAGGCUACGCACUGACAUUUAAAUUAAAACACACCAAGAACAUUUUCGUACCUGUGCUGGGGUUUUUAAACUCUUGCAGCAGGGAAUGGGGGAAAUCUACAGCAAAAGAGGAUUUCCAGGUAUAAUUUUCACUACAAACUAGAACAGCGUUCUCAGCCCCAUCCUUGCCAAUAAAUUGAAGAGGUGCAACAUCAGCUUACCUGAGACAAAUGCCCCAAUUCUAAAGCAUCACUUUGAACUAAGCCCCUUUCCCACGUAAGUACUCGCUUCCCACACAGUGGUCACAAUCCACAGCCUUGCACUGCAUUCUAGCACCGCCACAUCCACUGCACCUAUCAAACGGACUGCUGGCUCUGGUGGUGCCUAUCAGAGAUAGGAGGAGGAAAGAGGAUCCACAUAACAGGGUGGCCACCCACUCGCAGACCUGACCCAGCCAAGAUACUCGUUUGCAACAGCCCUUACGUGCGGCACCCGUUGGCGCAUAAAGACCACAUCCAGCAAAGGCAGCCAGUUGCCUUGAAGAAACCUGCAAAGAUUGCCUUUUGCAGGGGUUUGAGUUCUUCAGCGUUUAAAGAUACAAGCGUAACGGGGUUUGAGAUAUGGGCAUUGCCGCACAACAGCCUAGUUCACCAGAGGCAUAAAACGGACUGAAAAAAGUAGCGUGCUUAUCAACGCAACAUUAGCAAGACACAGCAGAGAAUACGUCAAAGGGUCAAUAAGAACAGUGGCAUUAAUGGUCAUUAUUAUUACUUGAAUGCCUUUUGCCAGCUAAAAAGCUAAACCUAACAAUUUCCUGGAGAAUCAGGGCAUGGAUUCUAACCACUUGUUGUAGCAGGACGCACCAGCACACACAGUGGCAAAAGGGAGGCAAUAAGCUCGUGUGAAUGAAUGAGCCGCCUACGGUAUUAUUAUUAUUGUUGUUGUUGUUGUUGUUGUUACAAUGAGACAUGCAAAUUUGGCUGUGAAUUUAAAGCCCCCUCCCCAUUUUUAACCAGGAAAUAAUAUCGGGGGUGGGGAGUGAGAAGACACCAACAACAUACAGUCUGGCCACAACCAUUCAUUGCGGCAGUGUGCCACUGUCACGCCCACAUUUGUCUUCUGAUCCGCCCCUGGGAUUUCCGCGAAACCCGGGAGGUUGCAGAGAAAGUCCCGGGGCGGGAGGGAAAUCAUGGCUAUCUGGGUGUGCCUUUAAAAAGCCGCCGCCGCCGCCACCACCUCCUUGAGUAAGGAAGGCGCCUUUUUUUGCGCAUUUGCAGUCAAAGAAGCCGCGCAUCUCAUGCACGCACGCUAACAAAAAGCAAAACGCGGGCUGGAUCGAUAUUCGCAUUAUUAAUGCAGGGGGUUCCCCGUGGGGAGGGGGGAAACACGACACACACGGAAUUGUCUUUCUUUACAAAUGGGCGUCGCCACACUUUUUUUGCAGCAGCCUGAGCCUUUUGUUAGCUAGGGAACGGAUGCGAAUAGCCGCUUGCCCCCUUAAUCCGGAGUGAACCCGGACUUCGGUUCACCAGCCCCCGACUCCCGAUGCAAUGCACGCGAUUGUUUCAGGCGACCCUGAGCAGCUGCUUUUUGCAGCCAGACAGCCUCUGCGAUCGAGCGCGGUUCCAGCACCAAUCAAUCAAUCAAUCCAAUUAUCGACAAGGGGAUCUACUCACAAGACUUGGCGAAUUUCCCUCCCUGUGCGUCGCCGUCUGCGCCUCUGCUGCGUUUUUUCCUUCUUCUUUUCUGCUUCUUUUGUUUUCCCGCUUUCCCUUUUCUUUCCGUUUAAGGCUCCACUCUGAAUGUCACAAAAUAAAUGCGUCCAUUGUGCGCUGCAACCACCCCGAAGCCUCGCUUGAACUGGAGCGGUUCCUCUCCCACUUCCCCCUUUCCUCGUGUGCUCAUCCAACGUGAUGGACAGUUGCUAUGGUUUCGCAUCUCUGACGUCAACGACAUUAAAGAGAAAGAGCUUUCCUUUGCUGCCUGGGAUAACUCCCACCAAGGAGCACAAAAAAAAGAGACAGACAGAAAGAGGAUUUCUUGUGCAGUCGAGCCUGGCAGGGCGUAGUCCAGGCACCUCCCAUUUCUUCCCACUGAGGCAGCUAUCACUCAGUAAUUACUGCAGAGAUAUUAGAAUUAUUAAGCCUUGCCAGGGAUGCUUGCAUACUGGGCUGGCACUACUAUUAGGCAGACUGAGGCAGCCGGUUCAGGCGGCAAGGUGCUGGGGGGCAGGCAGCAAAGUGGUGGGUGAUGUCGGCCAGCCCUGUGCCCCAUAAGGCAGCCCGCCACCUUCUGGGGGGGUCGGUGUGGGGCAGCGUCUCCACCCCCAUAGUGAACUUAAGAGUCAACAGCCAGUCUGGUCAGCUUCUGAGUGUGGAAAGGUUGUUGGAGGCAGGGAGAGAGGGGAAAAAUAAUAAUCAUCUCCUUUGUCUCAGACAAGGAAAAUGCCUUGGACGCACAAAUAUUAACAUGUACUUAAUGCAAUAAAGUUUGUUUUUC